AGUGAACGCUGGCGGUAGGCCUAACACAUGCAAGUCGAACGGCAGCACAGUAAGAGCUUGCUCUUACGGGUGGCGAGUGGCGGACGGGUGAGGAAUACAUCGGAAUCUACUUUUUCGUGGGGGAUAACGUAGGGAAACUUACGCUAAUACCGCAUACGACCUACGGGUGAAAGCAGGGGAUCUUCGGACCUUGCGCGAUUGAAUGAGCCGAUGUCGGAUUAGCUAGUUGGAGGGGUAAAGGCCCACCAAGGCGACGAUCCGUAGCUGGUCUGAGAGGAUGAUCAGCCACACUGGAACUGAGACGCGGUCCAGACUCCUACGGGAGGCAGCAGUGGGGAAUAUUGGACAAUGGGCGCAAGCCUGAUCCAGCCAUACCGCGUGGGUGAAGAAGGCCUUCGGGUUGUAAAGCCCUUUUGUUGGGAAAGAAAAGCAGCAGGUUAAUACCCCGCUGUUCUGACGGUACCCAAAGAAUAAGCACCGGCUAACUUCGUG
rnacentral:rRNA from 1 species